rnacentral:rRNA from 1 species
UACGAAGGGGGCUAGCGUUGCUCGGAAUCACUGGGCGUAAAGGGUGCGUAGGCGGCGCGGUAAGUCGGGUGUGAAAUUUCGAGGCUUAACUUCGAAACUGCAUUCGAUACUGCCGUGCUAGAGGACUGGAGAGGAGACUGGAAUUUACGGUGUAGCGGUGAAAUGCGUAGAUAUCGUGAGGAAGACCAGUGGCGAAGGCGGGUCUCUGGACAGUUCCUGACGCUGAGGCGCGAAGGCCAGGGGAGCAAACGGG